rnacentral:rRNA from 1 species
CAGUCGCCGCGGUAAUACGUAGGUCCCGAGCGUUGUCCGGAUUUAUUGGGCAUAAAGCGAGCGCAGGCUGUUAGAUCAGUCUGAAGUUAAAGGCUGUGGCUUAACCAUAGUACGCUUUGGAAACUGUUUAACUUGAGUGCAAGAGGGGAGAGUGGAAUUCCAUGUGUAGCGGUGAAAUGCGUAGAUAUAUGGAGGAACACCGGUGGCGAAAGCGGCUCUCUGGCUUGUAACUGACGCUGAGGCUCGAAAGCGUGGGGAGCAAACAGGAUUAGAUACCCGUGUAGUCCCUGUCUCUUAUACA